UGAUAAGGUACCACAUGGGCUGAAAGAAGU
rnacentral:piRNA from 1 species